GAGAGUAUAGCUCAGUGGUAGAGCAUAGGCUUAGCAUGCACGAGGUCCUGGGUUCAAUUCCUAGUACCUCCA
rfam:Camelus ferus unplaced genomic scaffold scaffold812, whole genome shotgun sequence.